GGGCGCUCCUCGCGCCGCGCAUGCGCGCUGGAGCUGCUGCGGUCCUGCCCCUCUGGUCAAGUCAGAGGCGGGUCUUGCAGCCCUGACGCUUUGGUUAUGCGGAGGGUGGUUUUGUGCAGGUGACAGCUUUUCGGCCUGCCUUCCACAUACGAACUCUCGAUAACUUUCAAGAGCCAGGUGAGAAGAGGGCAGUGUUAUACUAGGAGAAACCACUUGGAGAUAAUGCCAGGUGCUUUUCGGUGUGAUUUGCAGGAAAUUCUCCCACCAGAGACCCGUAUUAUGCCUGGCAUACAGGAGGCAUUCAGAACAUUUGAUGACUAGAAGUGUGUGUCUAUCUCAAUGACACAGGUCUCUAAAACCCUUGCUGACAGUGUUUGGACCAAGAGGCUGGCAGCUAUGAUGGGAGCUCUGGUAGAAGAUGCAGCAACAGAAGAAAAGGAAAACCACCAAACCAGCAAAGAAAGAAGUUGGUCAACACUUUGAAAGGGUUUGCAUCAGAUUCAUCUAAAGACAGUUGCUCCGUAUAUAAAAGGAAGAAAAGAAUGUUUGCCUUACUCACUUCAGAGUCUCGUCCUGAGAACCUUAAACGUGAAAGUACAUUUGCAAACUAUAAAGCCUUCCUUAACUGCAUGGUUUUCUUAUUAAGAGGCCCUCCUACCUCCCUACCUGAGGGAACCUUUAACAGAACCCCCCUCCUCCCCCACCCAUCACGGGCACUUCUGCUCUGUUUAGAGAAACACAUUUUAUGGCGGCACAGAUACAGACGUGGAUCACAGGGUCACUGCUAUGUUUCCAUUACAAACACACAGGCUUCAGGCUUCAGCCCUUUCCACAUGCUGAACUUCAUCGGAGUCCCAUGUGUUGAGAGCCUUCUGGAAGAGACCCAACAAUUACAGAGGAGUGCACCAUACAGACUUGGCCUGAAUGUAAUUUCAGCCUGAACUUUCUGGGGAUUGUUAUGGGGUCCCAUCCUGCAGUCUUUCAACAUGAGAAACUCUCCUGGGCAUGGAAGGUUUGGAAAAUCUUCAGGAUUGAAGAGUAUUGCCUCUAGGAUUGAACAUCACGGAGGACCCUGUAACCAGAAUGGACCUUCAGUCUCAUUUCAUGAGGCUGCUGCUUUUCUGUGUCUGUGUGGCCUUCUACUUGAAAUAAAUAAGCAAAGGAUAUAGUUUUAAGUGCAGUGGUUUUCACACUCCUAGGACUGAUUUUUCCUUUGCUUUCCCAGGUUGAUGGUAGUAGAUGAAACGGAUCCAAAUGGAUUUUGCAGAGAUAGUCAAAAAGGCAUGCCAACUUGGCUUCUUGUGUACAGUAAGUACAGUAUAAGGUAGCUGCCAGAUAGAGAAGAGAGGACCCCAAGUCAAUUACUGAUUGCUUUAGCUCCUCCUUAAGGUCAACAAACCACAGCUGCAUGUGUUCCAGCAUCUAGAAUGUGACCCUGGAGAAUUAGGGGCACAGUACACAAUAUUCUGUCAAAGUGGGGGUGUCAGCCCUGGUGUAGAAUGAAUAGUGGAACCAGGGCUCUAAUGUACAUGUCAGAUUUCCAUGGAUCUCUCUCUUUUGUCACAUUGUUGUCCAUGUCUUUAUGUGGUGACAUUGCAGAGUGGACUCACAGACCCAGGGAAAGGCUGGGAAUGAAAGUGAAGUCAGUGAUAUUUAUUAUCUUGUGGUGAUCCCAGUGCUGUCAUUACACUGAUUGUCAGCACAGAGAGGCUGAUACCAGGGUCCCCAGUCCACCCGCUGCCUUAUGGUAUUGUCCAUCCAUCUUUUCAUGGUGCUUACUGUUCCUUGGAAAGUGUCUCUGCACAUUCUAGGCACUCUUUUUUCUUUGUUUUUAAUAAAAUCAGGUUCUCCUUUAAAAAAGCAGUAAGCCAAUAAUUUCCAUGGAAAAAUGAGGCAAUUACAUUUAAGCAUAAUCCUCAGAGAAGCACAAGGCACCUGAAUUUGGGAGUUUAUCGAGAGACCCUCUAUUCAGGCAGGAGUGAAUAGGUAACUCAAUUCCAUAGGCCAAAAUUUGGUAAAAUUUCUGUUUGGGACCAGGGCAAGAUAGUAACUAU